rnacentral:rRNA from 1 species
CCUACGGGUGGCAGCAGUGAGGAAUAUUGGUCAAUGGGCGGAAGCCUGAACCAGCCAAGUCGCGUGCAGGAUGACGGCCCUACGGGUUGUAAACUGCUUUUAUACGGGAAUAACGCGCCUUACGUGUAGGGCUUUGCAUGUACCGUCUGAAUAAGGACCGGCUAAUUCCGUGCCAGCAGCCGAGGUAAUACGGAAGGUCCGGGCGUUAACCGGAUUUAUUGGGUUUAAAGGGGGCGGAGGUCGCAUGUCAAGCGUGCUGUGAAAUGUCCGGGCUCAACCCGGGCCUUGCAGCGCGAACUGGCGUGCUUGAGUGCGCGGAAGGCAGGCGGAAUUCGUCGUGUAGCGGUGAAAUGCUUAGAUAUGACGAAGAACCCCGAUGGCGAAGGCAGCUUGCUGCAGCGGAACUGACGCUGAUGCUCGAAAGCGCGGGGAUCGAACAGGAUUAGAUACCCUUGUAGUC